rnacentral:rRNA from 1 species
UACGGAGGGUGCAAGCGUUAUCCGGAUUCACUGGGUUUAAAGGGUGCGUAGGUGGAUCGGUAAGUCCGUGGUGAAAUCCCCGAGCUUAACUCGGGGACUGCCGUGGAUACUAUCGAUCUUGAAUACUGUGGAGGUAAGCGGAAUAUGUCAUGUAGCGGUGAAAUGCUUAGAUAUGACAUAGAACACCGAUAGCGAAGGCAGCUUGCUACACAGUUAUUGACACUGAGGCACGAAAGCGUGGGGAGCAAACAGG